GUGAGGGCAGGGUGUGUGACAGCAUGAGGGGGCAGUCUGUAUGACAGUGUAGGAGGGCAGGGUGUGUGACUGUGUGGGUGGCAGUGUGUGGGAGACAGUGUGGGGCAUUUUGUGUGAUAGACUGUGUGGGGGUAGAGUGUGUGGGAGACAGUGUAGGGGGCAGGUUAUGUGGUGGUCAUUGUGGGGGUCAGGGUAUGUGGUGGUCAAU